rnacentral:rRNA from 1 species
UACGUAGGGUGCGAGCGUUGUCCGGAAUUAUUGGGCGUAAAGGGCUCGUAGGCGGUUUGUCGCGUCGGGAGUGAAAACCUCGGGCUUAACUCGGGGCUUGCUUUCGAUACGGGCAGACUGGAGGUAUGCAGGGGAGAACGGAAUCCUGGUGUAGCGGUGAAAUGCGCAGAUAUCAGGAGGAACACCGGUGGCGAAGGCGGUUCUCUGGGCAUGACCUGACGCUGAGGCACGAAAGUGUGGGGGAUCAAACAGG